CUCUGGAACUAUUCAUGGCCUGGUUGAAUGGGGCACUAAGCAGCCUGACAUUUCUCUGCUAGGAACCCCCUCCUCUCACUUUAAAAAUUGCACUUCAUGAAUUGCACAGCAUUUAUAUGAGCUUUUCAGAGGCAUGUCAGCAGGAGGACAUUUGAUUGCCCCAACUUCCACUCUUCCUCAAAAAGGGCCAAAUGUGAAGUCAGUGGAGAAGCUUUGAACAUACAGCGGUGGAGCCGAAGGCAGGAUUUGGCCCUUGAAGCUGUGGAUUACUAGGUUUGGAAGAGAAUUCUGGUCACUCCAUUGCAGCUUGGCUCUGACAAAAUAUGAUUUCUGGACCUUGUCCCAACAAGACGGGAAUUAUUUCAAACAAUAAUUUUGU